AUUGAACGCUGGCGGCAUGCCUUACACAUGCAAGUCGAACGGCAGCACGGGAGCAAUCCUGGUGGCGAGUGGCGAACGGGUGAGUAAUAUAUCGGAACGUGCCCAGUCGUGGGGAUAACGUAGCGAAAGCUACGCUAAUACCGCAUACGAUCUAUGGAUGAAAGCGGGGGAUCGCAAGACCUCGCGCGAUUGGAGCGGCCGAUAUCAGAUUAGGUAGUUGGUGAGGUAAAGGCUCACCAAGCCGACGAUCUGUAGCUGGUCUGAGAGGACGACCAGCCACACUGGGACUGAGACACGGCCCAGACUCCUACGGGAGGCAGCAGUGGGGAAUUUUUGGGACAAUGGGCGCAAGCCUGAUCCAGCAAUGCCGCGUGCAGGAUGACGGUCCUAUGGAUUGUAAACUGCUUUUGUACAGGAAGAAACACUCCCUCGUGAGGGAGCUUGACGGUACUGUAAGAAUAAGG
rnacentral:rRNA from 1 species